UCUUAAAAUUUCUAUCCAUUUGUACGGUUAAAAACUGAUGUGAGUGAUGAAAUAAUCAAACAAUGUCACAUGACAUGCCACUUGUACCUUAUGUUAACAUACAAGAAUCAGUUUUUAACACUAGAAAUGAAUGAAAUUUUUGACA
rfam:Gossypium hirsutum cultivar TM-1 chromosome 17, whole genome shotgun sequence